rnacentral:rRNA from 1 species
AACUAACGCUGGCGGCGUGCCUAACACAUGCAAGUCGUACGAGAAAGUCCGCUUCGGUGGAUGAGUAAAGUGGCGCACGGGUGAGUAACGCGUGGAUAAUCUACCCCUCAGUCUGGAAUAACGUACCGAAAGGUGCGCUAAUACCGGAUGACACUGCACAACUACUGUUGUGUAGUCAAAGAUGGCCUCUGCUUGCAAGCUUUCGCUGAAGGAUGAGUCCGCGUACCAUUAGCUAGUUGGUGGGGUAAUGGCCUACCAAGGCUGCGAUGGUUAGCUGGUCUGAGAGGAUGAUCAGCCACACUGGAACUGAGACACGGUCCAGACUCCUACGGGAGGCAGCAGUGAGGAAUAUUGCGCAAUGGGGGCAACCCUGACGCAGCAACGCCGCGUGAGUGAGGAAGGUUUUCGGACCGUAAAGCUCUGUCGAGCGGGAAGAAAUGCAUUAUGGCUAAUAUCCAUAAUGCUUGACGGUACCGUU